rnacentral:rRNA from 1 species
GUAUCAGUAGCUGCUACUGGCUCGGGAGCUCGCUGUAAGUCCGCAUAGUUUAAUUACUGAUGAGCGGCAGGCACUCUGUCUGAACCCUUGUCUUUUGCGCACUCUUGUUUCCUCGGCGGGCUUGCCCGCCGAUUGGACAAAACUAUAACCUUUUUAAUUUUCAAUCAGCGUCUGAAAAAACUUAAUAAUUACAACUUUCAACAACGGAUCUCUUGGUUCUGGCAUCGAUGAAGAACGCAGCGAAAUGCGAUAAGUAGUGUGAAUUGCAGAAUUCAGUGAAUCAUCGAAUCUUUGAACGCACAUUGCGCCCCUUGGUAUUCCAUGGGGCAUGCCUGUUCGAGCGUCAUUUUGUACCCUCAAGCUCUGCUUGGUGUUGGGUGUUUGUCCUCUCCUCUGCGUUUGGACUCGCCUUAAAGCAAUUGGGCAGCCAGUGUUUCGGUAUUGAAGCGCAGCACAUUUUGCGAUUCUAGCCUAUAAUACUUGCGUCCAUAAGGCCUUUUUUAACUUUUGACCUCGGAUCAGGUAGGGAUACCCGCUGAACUUUAGGCUUUUCGUGACGGGGGAGGUUUCCCUGUUCACGGUCGGG